rnacentral:rRNA from 1 species
AGUGAACGCUGGCGGUAGGCCUAACACAUGCAAGUCGAACGGCAGCACAGUAAGAGCUUGCUCUUACGGGUGGCGAGUGGCGGACGGGUGCGGAAUACAUCGGAAUCUACUUUUUCGUGGGGGAUAACGUAGGGAAACUUACGCUAAUACCGCAUACGACCUACGGGUGAAAGCAGGGGAUCUUCGGACCUUGCGCGAUUGAAUGAGCCGAUGUCGGAUUAGCUAGUUGGCGGGGUAAAGGCCCACCAAGGCGACGAUCCGUAGCUGGUCUGAGAGGAUGAUCAGCCACACGGGAACUGAGACACGGUCCAGACUCCUACGGGAGGCAGCAGUGGGGAAUAUUGGACAAUGGGCGCAAGCCUGAUCCAGCCAUACCGCGUGGGUGAAGAAGGCCUUCGGGUUGUAAAGCCCUGUUGUUGGGAAAGAAAAGCAGCAGGUUAAUACCCCGCUGUUCUGACGGUACCCAAAGAAUAAGCACCGGCUAACUUCGUG